UACGUAGGGUCCAAGCAUUAUCCGGAAUUAUUGGGCGUAAAGAGCGUGUAGGUGUUCCAACAAGUCGGUCGUUAAAUCCUAUGGCUUAACCAUAGGGCUGCGAGCGAAACUGUUGGAAUUGAGUGUUACAGGGGCAAGCAGAAUUCUUGGAGUAGGGGUGAAAUCCGUUGAUACCAAGAGGAAUACCAAUGGCGAAGGCAGCUUGCUGGGUAACUACUGACACUGAGACGCGAAAGCGUGGGGAGCAAACGGG
rnacentral:rRNA from 1 species